rnacentral:lncRNA from 1 species
CCAGGGUCAGCUCCUUGCUCUGUGUCAUGGCAGUGAAGAAGGUGUUCCAGGCAGAAUAAUACAAAAUUCAGAUUCCAGGACUCUGCUACAUGCAGCUGAAUCAAUGGUGGUGGCAGCAGACCCGUGACACUGUGAGCAGGGAUUCUGCUGAUCUUCUGUGUGCUCAUCAUAUGGGCCUCCAAACUGAGCUGAACUUCUGGAAAGCAAGACAGCAUUUUAAUCAAAAAUUAAACAGAGCAGCAUUGAUGAUUGGACUAAAACCCAGUGGAGAGAGAUUAAUGUGGAACAGAUGGAUGUGCAGCUCAGAAGGUUUGCCAAGAUCAGGCUGUUGA